AACCAUGGCGGGGCAUGUGGGCGGUCGCCGCUGCACGGACGCAAAGCUGCUGCUGCACCCUGAGCUGCUACCCCAGGAGUUCCUCCUCCUCACCCUGGAGCAGAAGAACAUAGCAGUUGAAAAUGAGGAAAGGGUAAACAAAGACAACCUUACCGACCUUUAUGUCCAGCAUGCCAUACCGUUGCCUCAGACGGAUUUGCCAAAGAAUAGAUGGGGGAAGAUGAUGGAGAAGAAAAGAGAGCACCAUGAAGUGAAAAAUGACACCAAAAGGAGUAGUGCUGUAGAUGGAUUAAGGAAAAGACCCUUCCUUUUGUUCGAUGGGAGCUCAACGAGCACAAGCAUCAAAGUGAAAAAGACGGAGAACAGAGCAGACGACCGGCUCAAGCCUCUUGCCGGGACAGGCUCCACCAGCGACGCCUUCUGGAAAUCACCAAUUCCAAUCCUCUUCACGGAUCUCACCCCGAGUAUUGUUUUCCAAUUUGCCUGUGAACAAGAAAAUGGAGCGCAAUAAUAAUGACACUAAACAGAACCAUGACUUAACGCAUAGGAAAAGUCCUUCGGGUCCAGUGAAGUCACCACCUCUGUCCCCUGUUGGAACUACUCCUGUGAAAUUAAAGCGGGCUGCUCCUAAGGAAGAGGCAGAGGCCACAAAUCACCUGAAGCCUCCAGAGGCAUGUCACAUGGCCAUGAAAGCAAGCCUCCAAGAUAUAAACAGAGCUGCAGCCGCAGUUUUCAGACGAGUCCACGGUAUCUACCGAGGUCCUGAAUACUGUGGGAUUUUCUUGAGGUCUAAGCUUCAGACUUAG